rnacentral:lncRNA from 1 species
UCUCUCGCUCCUGAGAGCUUCUCCCUACCUCUUUUGGUAGCAGUCCCCAAAUCCCUAGUUUUUCCCGUGCAUUUCCAAAACCCAAAAAUCCAAAUAGCUACAUUACAGACCUCCAAUGGAUCAAAACCCUUACUGCAGUUUUUUUCCGACACCCAUUACCCCACCUUCUUCUUGUCUUUUAUGCUGAGGCGGAAAGGCUAGGGUUAUGGCCUCCACUGAUGGCAUCAAGUAGCGCCGAUUACUAAGUUUGGUCUUCUGUAAAUUUGAUUGUUGUCUCUUUCUUCGGUUUCCCUCCUAGGCUCGGUGCGUAUUGAUAAUCGGAAGGGGAUUUUCACCCCCUGACCAUGGCUGGAAGGAUUUUCACCGUUUUGUUGGCCUCGUCUCCAUGAAUUGAUCUGGUUUAGCAACAUUUAUUUACUAUUUUGGGGAAAAUGAACGAAUCAGGGUCAAUGGACAGUCGUUUGGCUGUUUUAUGCAAGAAAUUAGGGAAUCUGAGAACAGAAGUUAAUGCCCCUCCACGGGAAAGGGUGAUUUCAGAGGAGAUGCUGGAUGAAUGCAAGCGCAUAGUAUUUGGUAAGCUGUACUCGGGAGGAAAUAUUAAUUUUCAGGCGUUCCUUACCACAAUGAAGAAAGCUUGGAAGGUCAACUCAGUCAACUUGGCGCAUCGUGAAUCGGGUAUCUUGUCCUUUACCUUUGACUCUGAAACGGAUAAAGAAAGAGUGUUAGCAAAUAGCCCAUGGUCGUUUGUGAGCAAUUUAUUGAUUCUUCAACCUUGGGAGUCGAAUAAACCUGCGCAAUGUUAUAAAUUCACUCGCUGUGCAUUUUGGGUCCAAAUUCAUGGUCUUCCUAUUGAAUGGUGUUGUGAGGAGGUUGUAUCUCAUAUUGCCCAAACACUAGGGUGUGUGAAAGAAGCAAAAGUAGAGAAGAAGGGGGUGACCUUCCAAAAGGUGGGACAAGCAAGAGUAGAGCUUGACCUGGAUACACCUUUAAGGCCAGGUAUUUUAUAUAAUUUAGAAGAGGAGAAAGUUUGGUUGGAUUUUAAAUACGAGAGGCUACCUCGGUUUUGCUAUUCAUGUGGAAGAGUUGGGCACUUUGCAACAACCUGUGAAGAAGUUCCUUUUGAUAUGGCCAAAUAUAAAGAUAGAAAGACGCACCGGUUUGGGCAUUAGUUAAAAGCAGAGCCUAAGGAGCCUAGUCCUUUUUGGCAGAUUUUUUAUGAAAACCAGGUUGGUGAAAGGGAGGAAGAACUUGUAGACAACAAUUUUCAAGCUCAAAAUACUCAAAUAAUUAUCUUCUCUGGUGAGCAAAUAGUAGGAAGACCCACAGCAACAACACCACUACAAAACAGAGAAUCGGUGGAUUUAAUUGUACCUAAUCAGCAGAUGGAACAUCAUAAGAAUAAGGGAAAAGGCAUAAUGAACUUUGAAGAAUCCGACCAACAGCUUCUGCAGGCUGCUAAACCAUCAUCCUGGACCAAAAAAGAAGGAAAGCAGGAUUUUAAAAAGCUCACUAGCAAAAAAAUUGAAGAGGUACACCUCAUAUAACUCUACAUCUAUAGAGUUGGCGAACUUGGAUGAAGCUAAUUUGCAGGACACUCCAACUAGUUUGUCGGAGGAAACAAUGGGAUGGGCUUUGGUGGCUAGCCCGAAUAAGCCACCGAGUUACAAAUUAGGGUUUUAUGUUGGAACUGUCAGGGGUUGGGCACACCACUGACAAUUCAAAACUUGAGAGUCAUUGUGACUCAGGAAAGGCCCAACUUAAUUAUGUUAAUGGAAACAAAAAACAAAGAAAAUGUGAUUCUUCGAAUUAGAAGGCGGCUGCGUUUUAAAAAUAGUUUUGUGGUGAAUCCAAUAGGAAUUGCAGGGGGGCUAGCGGUGAUAUGGAAUGAUGAUGUGGAUAUGGAGGUGGAAUCUAGUUCUCAAGAGUUAAUUAAUCCGAUAUGUGUCGAUCAUGAGAGUCGGAUCAAAAUGCGGGUAAGUUGUGUACAUGCUCCAAAUAUGUAUGGGGAUAGAUUGAAGUUAUGGGAUAAUUUGAGACAUAUUGGCCUUUCUAAUAACAUUCCAUGGGUUUGUUUGGGGGAUUUCAAUGAAAUACUUUAUUAUUGGGAGAAGGAGGGAGCGAGGAUGGCAAAAAAUUAUCGAAUGCAGGCGUUCCAAAAUUGUAUACAUGAUUGCUCUUUAAUGGAAAUAGAUUGUAAAGGAUGUGCUUUUACCUAGUUAAACAACAGAGAAGGGGCUGAUUUGGUGAAGGAAAAACUGGAUAUGGUGUUUUGUUCUCUUGAUUGGCGGCUCAUGUUUCCAGAGGCUGAAGUGUAUGCUUUACCAGCUAUUGGGUCAGAUCAUAGUCCUCUCCUUUGAUGAGUAGUGUUGAAG